UACGUAGGGUCCGAGCGUUGUCCGGAAUUAUUGGGCGUAAAGGGCUCGUAGGCGGUUUGUCGCGUCGGGAGUGAAAACCCAGGGCUUAACUCUGGGGCUGGCUUUCGAUACGGGCAGACUAGAGGCAUGCAGGGGAGAACGGAAUUCCUGGUGUAGCGGUGAAAUGCGCAGAUAUCAGGAGGAACACCGGUGGCGAAGGCGGUUCUCUGGGCAUGUCCUGACGCUGAGGAGCGAAAGUGUGGGGAGCGAACAGG
rnacentral:rRNA from 1 species